UUGCCUCACCAAAAGAAAAAAAUAAGUGGUCACACUGAUGUCUUGGUAUCUCUAACCUACAAGAUCAUUCUUAAGCCUGGACAUGGUCAUCUCAAAAUUGCUGCUCAGUCAGCUACUUAAGAAAGGAAACAUAAAGAAAGAAAAAGCAGGCAAGAUGAAGGGCAGGGGCCAAUUGUCUGGACGCCGGGCUCCCUGGAGACACUGGCAAGACACCUGGUCAUGCUGGAGUGACUGGAAGGUAUCCUGGGGAUUCAGUAGUCAAGUGAUCGCUCUUGGCUUCUGAAAAACAUUGCACCACCCCAGCAGAUUUCCACACAGAGAGUCACGCAUUCUUGAUUUUCCUUGUGGAUGCCGUGAAUGCCAUUUAUGUGUAUGUAUGUCUAUCUAUGGCUGUGAAUGCCAUGUAUCAUGUGAGUAAACGGACCAAUGACUAGGACCAGUCUCCUCCACUGCCUCCAUGGUGAGAAAUUACGGACUUUCCUCUUCCCAUUUCAAACUACCAAUGGGCAGCCAGAAGAUAAAGCAGCAACCCCUGCCAUGUGAGAGGAGAGCCACAGAUUAAUCCCUCACCCAGCCACCACCAGAUGCAGGAUACCCACUGUCACUGAGGUAGCUAGACAUGAACAACUCUCAAAUAUUGAAGAAUUGGUUAUCCAAUGUAUGAAUUAUCCAAGUUCAUUGUACCCCAUCCAUUUCUCUUCAAAUUAUUUGUCUUUGAAGAGCCAAGGUGGUGGAGUAGAAGCAGCAACCUAGCCAAGUUCUCUCAAUAUUCUCCUCCAAACAACUUUAAAAUAAUACAUCAAAUCAAAUUCUGGAGUGACACACUCAACAAAAAGUUGAGACUUUGUGAGAUCUCUUUGGACUACAAGCGGCAAAGGGGCUAGUGCUAUGGAGUGACAAAGUGUCUACAGGUCAGCUGAGAAGCUGGAAGUACUAAUGACUCAGGAGAAGCUUUACUGGAACUGUGUACUCAGUUACAGAAGUGGCUCUUCACUGGUGGCUUUUAAGUAAGGAAGACAGAGCUGACAGAUGGGGGAAGAACACUGGUGAAAGACCACUCAGAGAUGGGGCUCCCCAAGUUAUGAUCUUGUGAGCUUCAAAAGGUCUGAAGAGCCAGCAGAGUUUUCCUCAGCUACCAGAAGUGGUAAUGGUAGCUGCUAAACCCAGAGAGGAGCCAAUGCAGCAGCUCAGAGACUUGCUUUCCCUAGCCCCGCCCUGGAUCAUCCUACCAGCUGACAGACAAUGUCCAACAAGGAGCAAGCCCAUCUGAUGAAGAGGAUGACUUAAUUCUCCAGAAUUCCAAUCCUUCUCCCUACCUGGAAGGCAAAAAUGGUCUCUCAGGACCAGUAAUCAAGCUACCCCUCAGCCCUAUAGCCUACAUGUAUUCCCUACACUUGUGCCUCAUUACCUUUGUAAUUUAAGUUUGAGCACACUCUCCCCAGGGACUUGAAUGUGCAAAGGGAGGGUAUUUCCCUGAUUUGGGGAAUUUUUUUUUAUGAC